CUACGGGCUGCUGCCGUGAGGAAUAUUGCACAAUGGGGGGAACCCUGAUGCAGCAACGCCGCGUGGAGGAUGACGCAUUUCGGUGUGUAAACUCCUUUUAUAUGUCAAGAAAAUGACGGUAGCAUAUGGAUAAGCACCGGCUAACUCCGUGCCAGCAGCCGCGGUAAUACGGAGGGUGCAAGCGUUACUCGGAAUCACUGGGCGUAAAGGACGCGUAGGCGGGUUGGAAAGUCAGGUGUGAAAUCCUACAGCUUAACUGUAGAACUGCACUUGAAACUUCUAAUCUAGAGUAUGGGAGGGGGAGAUGGAAUUAGUGGUGUAGGGGUAAAAUCCGUAGAGAUCACUAGGAAUACUCAUAGCGAAGGCGACUGGCUGGAACUUUACUGACGCUGAGGCGUGAAAGCAUGGGGAGCAAACAGGAUUAGAUACCCCCGUAGUC
rnacentral:rRNA from 1 species